rnacentral:antisense_RNA from 1 species
CUUGACCGACCCCAGCCACAGGGGUCGGUCCUGCUCCCGUUCCUGACCGUAGGUGGCGAGGAGCGCCUGGGCCUC